UUCUGAGCAAUUUUAACAAAAUGUGUCAACAAUUGUAUAGAGAGUUUUUAAAUAAAAUUAAUUACUUAAAUUUUGUUAAUUAGUCUGCAAGAAACUAGUUGUAAUUUCACUUUCUUAGCUCGACUGCUUACGUAAUACUUGAGCGCAGUAUAGAACUAAAAAUCGCUUGUUUUUAUAUUUCCAUUUUGUAUAAAAAAUCUUCUCUUUAAACGCGCUAUCAUAAAAUUAUCUCAUUCAUAGAUUCGGAGAGAAUACAAGUAUAUGUAAAUUAAUACACCCGGCGAUAAUUCGUUUGUUUUGAUUAUAAUAGAAGGCCAAACUAGUUCCGGCAAUGAAAGCCGGCAAAAGUAUGUACAUACAAAUACAUAUGAUAUUCUGCUUGCAAAAUUGAGUGAAACAAACAACCAUAUCGAUAUGCAGUACAUUUGACCUUUGAUGUGACCUUUUGGCAAUUCCAUAAAGAAAUAAGCUAAUAGCAACCUCCAAAAACUAGGCGCCUAAAGCAAAAAGAAUCACGUAAGCGGUCGACUUUGAUUCGUGAACUCCAGCACUUUACAACUUCACCACUUUGGCAUUGGUUUUACUACUGAGCUACCUCAUUGCCGCAUGCAACUUACCUCCCACUCCGAGAUUAGCCUUUUUAGGUUCGGUAUCCUCCAAGAAUGCACGAUUUAGGGCAAACACCUCAAUGGCUGGUCCCUUUUGAACAGAUUCG